GAUUUGUUUCUCUUAGUUUUCUUUUAUUUAUAAAGAUUUAAGUUUCUUUCUGUCUCAGUGAGUCACUGUUUUGGGGGGAAGGUGUCAAAAAAAAGUAUUCAGGUCCAGUCUCACCUUCUCAGCAACUUUUCAUUUGAUCCUGAAGUUGCUGACAUUUGCCAACAAAAAUCCAUCUAUGGAAGAACCUCAACAUGGAGCAUGGCAUCAAUGAUGGAGAGGAUUAAAGUCAGCAGAUAUGGAUCCAGACACGGAGUCUGUGAAGCUGCAAAAAUGGCAGACUGGAAGACUCGGAUGGAUUUCAUCAAUCUGAAUCUGAAUCUCAACAGUGCUUUUGACAUUCUGGUUCUGUGGGACAGCAAAACUGUUCCUCUGUGACAGAGCUGGAAACAGCUUCAGCAGCCUCAAAGAUGUUGUUCCUCGUCUCCUUAUUGAGAGCACUCCCCACCCAUGCAGUGAGCUCUGCCAUGGGGAGACUUCCUUCAAGGCUGCUGCCAGAACUCCACAAGUCUAUAUGGUCCACAUGGCUCAGCUCAUCUGUGGUGCCAUGAGUGACUUUAGAAAAGCCAAUUAUACCAGGGUAAACUGCUGAGUGGAUUUUAAGGCCUAGAGUUGGUGUAGGCAAGAAUGCACAGGACUGAAAAAAUCAUUUUUCCCUCAUUGAUCCACAUUCAUUGAUUCAUUGUUUAGAAAACUGGGGGGAAAAAUAACACUUAGUGUUCCUAAAACUUUUCACCUUAUUUUACUGAAUAUUCAUCUUUGUCUGCAAUUUAUCAUUUUAACCACUAAUGUCUGAAAAAAAAGAGUGUAAUCUCACAGACCUGUUUGUAGGAUUGGGUGGCAGGUUCUCCAUUUCUUUAUACCAGUGAUGUCAAAGUGAUGCUGCAAGAGGUCGUUUAUAAAUUUGUAAUCAGCUGUGUAAGAUGGUAGCCUGGUAUCAUCUGCAUAUUAACUCACCUCCACAUUUACUGUGGGAAAUGGCCACUGAUGUGUGAGUGGGUUUGUUUCACAACUGCUGUGAGCCAGUGGCUGUGAUUGGGCUGGGUUCACUGAAGGCAGGUGUAUUUGAUUGCACUCUAGUCUAGUCUACUUAUACUCCAGACUACAAGUACUGCUGUUAGUGAUGGCCAAAUGAAGCUUUCUGAAGUGUUGAAGCUUGUAUUGGCCAAAAGUAUGAAGAGCAGCUCGAAUCUACAACUUUGAAAUGAACUGCUUCAUUAUCAUUGCCCAGUCACAGCUUCUGUUUAACAUCAUGUGAUAAUUCUGUCUGAUAUCAGGCUAACGUUGUGGUGCUUUGAACCUGUAUUUUUCUCUGUGUGACACAAUUUUGUCUGUUUCAUGAAUAAAUGUGAUGAAUAAAUUUGUUUAAACAUGAA